rnacentral:rRNA from 1 species
CCCUUAGAUGUCCUGGGCCGCACGCGCGCUACACUGAGUGUCUGAGAUAUGAGGCAUGCCUGGUCCGGCAAGGUCUAGGUAAUCACGAAAAGGCACAUCAUGCUUGGGAUUGAUUAUUGCAAAUUUUAAUCAUGAACGAGGAAUUCCUAGUAAGUGCAAGUCAACAGCUUGCGUUGAUUACGUCCCUGCCCUUUGUACACACUGCCCGUCGCACCUACCGAUUGGAUGGUCCGGUGAAGCCUCGGGAUUGUGGUUCUUGCCGCUUUAUUGUGGCGUGACCGCGAGAACUUGUCUAAACCUUAUCAUCUAGAGGAAGGUGAAGUCGUAACA